rnacentral:misc_RNA from 1 species
GAAGGUCCAACAGUAUAGCCUCCUGUUUCAUCGUACAACAUUCAAUCUCAAAUAAGUCCUCAAACGGGAGAAACUUAAAUAAGCUGCAUUCCAUAGACAACAAUAACAUUUAGCUCAAGCGACUAAAAGCUCCAUUUGUCAGAAAGGCAAAAUAUCAUGAAGAUUUACUUUAUGUAUUGCACACUGCUGCUAUUUUAUGGAGCAUCUAUACAUAGUGAAUCCCACUGGGGGAACUAAAUUCAUAAUAGAAAAAGAUAGUCCUAGCAAAAAGAAAUAAUAUUCUUC